rnacentral:rRNA from 1 species
GACGAACGCUGGCGGCGUGCUUAACACAUGCAAGUCGAGCGGAAAGGCCCUGCUUUUGUGGGGUGCUCGAGUGGCGAACGGGUGAGUAACACGUGAGUAACCUGCCCUUGACUUUGGGAUAACUUCAGGAAACUGGGGCUAAUACCGGAUAGGAGCUCCUGCUGCAUGGUGGGGGUUGGAAAGUUUCGGCGGUUGGGGAUGGACUCGCGGCUUAUCAGCUUGUUGGUGGGGUAGUGGCUUACCAAGGCUUUGACGGGUAGCCGGCCUGAGAGGGUGACCGGCCACAUUGGGACUGAGAUACGGCCCAGACUCCUACGGGAGGCAGCAGGGGGGAAUAUUGCACAAUGGGCGGAAGCCUGAUGCAGCAACGCCGCGUGCGGGAUGACGGCCUUCGGGUUGUAAACCGCUUUCGCCUGUGACGAAGCGUGAGUGACGGUAAUGGGUAAAGAAGCCCCGGCUAACUACGUG